AUUUUCCAGGUUGCACAGAAUACAAAAAGUGGAAGGCUGAAUAAAAAACAAGCUCCUGUUCAAGUGACCUCACUGCUUUCUGAUGACCCCCACUGGCUAUGCCACAUUUCUGGUGCUGAAUGGAUGCACAACACGUCCGUACUCAUCUGGGCUUCGAUGCAGUUGUUCAAUUUGAAAAAUGAUGGAAUGAACAAUCCUGCGUAUGGCUUCCAAACUGAAAACUCAGAACUUAAGGCUCUGGUCUGAAGUGGCCACAGUUCAUCUCUGGCCUUGACAAGCCAUUUGUUGGCCGUGGAACUCAUUACUUGAAAGAGAUUUGCUACAGCUCCCGUUAUGGUGCCUUUAGAAGAAAUAAAGAUCUCCUGCCUCACUUCCAAUACUU
ensembl:lncRNA LINC01924 long intergenic non-protein coding RNA 1924